rnacentral:piRNA from 1 species
UGAUGAAAGAUUACAGUGCCAUCUCCUUC